AAAAAUACGAACAACUAUGUUAUAAUUUGAUUGUUAUCUGUUGACACUGCUUAAAACUUACUAAGCAUUGUAAUGCUUACUCUGUUUACUCUGUUUCCUCUGUUUUAUAGAUCUCAUUUGGAAGCUACAGGCUCGGGGAUCAUCAGCAACUAGUCACACUAUCACUAUCCAUUGUUUGGUACCGCUACGUUUUGGAUUAUCUUAUGGCAUGUAUAGAAUAGACUAGUGGCGG
rnacentral:lncRNA from 1 species